AGAGCGUUUAAUAGUUUUCUAAGUGCUAUGUUUUGGAAAGUUUGGAUUUUAUUUAUGUUAGAUUUUUUAGCAUUACCCCAUAAUUGAAUACCGUACAUCCAGAUUGGCUUAAUUAGGGAUUUGUUUAUAAAAAACUUGGUGUUAAUGUGUGUGAAAUUAAUAUUAAUUAUAUAAGUUUUUAGCGAUCGCAAUCGAGCGUUCAAACUGAGACGUUUAAUUCUUAAGUGCUGAGACCAGGUAAGUCGGCGAUCAAGGGUUAAUCCAAGAUAUUUAACUAAUGCCGAGAUGGGGAUUUGGGUAUUGUAGAUAGUUACAGGGAGCAAGUCUGAGGGUAAACGUAGUGUGAACAGACUUAUAUUGAUUGACUUUAAGCCACCAUUUAGUGUACCAGCGUUCCAUGAAAUUAAGAUGAUUUUGUAAGUGAGUUGAGACAAUGAAGCUGUCAGGAUAAGUGAAAAUAAUGGCCUUGUCAUCAGCAUAGU